rnacentral:lncRNA from 1 species
ACAUAGUGGUAUUAGAGCAAGUCGGUCCAUCCAACCAGGUUUUUGUAAUGUUGUAUAUUCCCUAGUAUGCAAUGAGUGUAUGAAUAUUAUCAAUGCAUUGUUUCUUUUAAUGUCUGUUUAUUGGUGUGAAGAAUGGUUGGAAGAAACUACCGAGCGAUUGUUGGUGCUUUGGAGGCGAUGACUCAGGCACUGCAAGAUCAGGAGAAUCAGGCUGGUGAUGAGUUCCACAUAUUGGGGAAGUUUCAGAGAAACAAUCUUUCAACUUUCAAGGGAAGAUAUGAUCUGGAGGGUGCGCAAACAUGGCUCAGAGAGAUUGAGAAGAUAUGGUUCUCGAAAGCAUCAAUGCAUAGACCUAGCAAUGCAAGUUUCAAGUGAACAUUCAACAAUACAUUCACUUAGCAGAAUUAUGCCAACAGAUGGUAACAUGAAAUCAUUUGCACAGGAUGAUAUUGCAUCCAAUUGACAAUAGAAAUUAAUACCAUAGUUAUUUCAUAGCAGCCUUUGAAUUCCAAAAGUUGCAGUUAAUAGUCUGCAGGUUUGAACCAAGCCAGGCCUGCAACAGAAAUGGAAAGCUAAUUGAAUUGUGUUGUUUUCUAACUGCCAUUGUACCUAACUAACAACCAUGUCUAACAGAUUCUCGUUCAGAAAAAUGAUGAAACUAAAUCUAACCAGUUCAACAACAGGUUUUACAUUGCAAUUGCCUUCUAACAAAACAUGCACUAGCAAAACUAACAAAAUAUGCAUUUGGAAAUUCCGCAAACUAACAAAACCUGCAGUUCAAAAGCAUACCUGCACUAGUAAGUCAUCAUUUUGAUCCAUAGAAACCUUCAUUCAUCUGGCAACCUGCAAUUGGCAGUGGUAACAAUUACUAACCUUUGCAUUACAAAACCUAACCAACUAACUAACGGUUCUAAUCAAGUCUAACAGCUUCAACUGAUUCCAACAUAAAUCACGUUGCCCUAGAACUAACAGUGUGAGUCAUAUCUAACUAAUUUUGCUUUAAUCCAAGUUAAUAAAGUUAACUCUGUUAACUCUCUCAUCAUCUAUAAAUCACCAUUCACUCUUCAACUUGAGGGCACUCUUUCAUUUUCCCAGAAAAUCGAUUUCAGAUUUCUCAAAUUCUCUCAAUCAUAAAUCCUCGCAAUCACUCAUUCACUGCACAUUAAUUGAACCACUAAUCCUCUCAAUUCUCACAUGAAUACCACCAUAGAAGUAAGAGGAAGAAGAAGUGAAGCAGAAGAAAGAAGGGAAGAAGGAGUUCAGAUUGAAGAUCAUACCUGCAAUUAUCUCUUGCUACCUCUGCGAAUUGCUCUGAGCUCGAAAUACUCUUCUCUCCGGCAGGCAAGUAUCACUCUUCAUCUUUAAUCAUCACUCUGGUUACCAGCAUGUAAGGGAGAGGCCGAGGAAUCAAAUCCCUAACCCUAGGGACUUUGGUUUCUCCAAUUUGAGAUUUAAUUUUUGAUUUUGUUGUAAGUAUCACUCUUCAUCUUUAAUCAUCACUCUGGUUACCAGCAUGUAAGGGAGAGGCCGAGGAAUCAAAUCCCUAACCCUAGGGACUUUGGUUUCUCCAAUUUGAGAUUUAAUUUUUGAUUUUGUUGUUAGGGUUCGUAUGGGAUUUCAACUUGAUUUAGGAGUUUUAGUUUGAAAUAGGUGAAAUUGAUGUGGGAUUAUGUUAGAUCUCGUGGAGUGGAUUUAAAUGGCAUAAGUUUUUUUUUGUGUUUGAUGCUCCGCCGACGUCGGUGGUGAGCUCAGGUGUGGCGAAGACUUUCUUUGAACAGGUUGAGAUGAUGAAUGCACUGAAUGCUUGUGAAACACAUGAUAUUUGCUUGAGUUUGAUCCCCGAGACUCUCAUAGGUGCAAUGGGAUAAAUGUUUCCCAUAAGCCCAAUGUUUUUCUUUUGACACCAUAGAAGUUUCCUACAUCCCCUCUGUUCAAAGGUAAAAGACCUGUGGGCGUACUGAAUGGGCCUUGCGCCCCAAAUCUUUUUGCAUUCUGUAUUUGGCAGCAAACCUUCCGGUUUCCAUUUUCUUUUAUUUUGUUGUUUUUACUUUUUUUUAAAUCAUAUUUUAGCAUGUGUUUUUUUGAUGAAACUAGUAAAGAAUCCGUACGUUCGCAUGGGUCGCGCAAGUGCAAUAAUUUAUUUA